CUUUGAGAGUUUACAGCCUGAGAACAAGACAUAGAAAACAAGAGAAGGAAACACAAUGGUUGAAUUCAAAUCAUUUCACAUGUUUCUGAUCCUGAUGAUUCCAUUUACAGUAGACAACGUGGCAACACCACCACCAACAAGAACAACUAAAUUACCAACAACAACCAAAAGAACAACUAAAUUAUCAUCAACAAGCAAACGAACAACUAAAGUAACCAAAGCAACAACCAGACCAACAACAACUAAAGCAACCAGAACAACAACCAGACCAACACCACCACCACCAACAACAACAGACCCAGCAGCAGGAGAAACAAGCCCAAAUGCAGAUCUCCCAGCAAUUCUGAUCCCUGUAGCUGUUGUUUCAGCAGCACUCUUGAUCAUCAUUGUGGCAGUCAUCAGAUGGAAGGGAGCUAAAGAGAACAACACCCAGUUGGACGACAACACUGCUGAUCCUCCAGAUGGUGUUUCCUACGCCUCCAUCCGCUACAAGAAGAAGACCAAGAGAAAAGCCCGGGUUCAGGGUGAAGAUGAUAUGGUGACCUACAGCACUCUCAACACUUUCUCCACCUCUGCUGGAGCUUCCACUGAUCCCAGGAGGCUCUACAUCUCCAUCAACAAGACCAACACAUAAGAGGCCACAGUGUAGCUACACCUGUAAUCAUUACAUUUAUUUCACAUUGAUAAAUGAUCAGUUCAAGCUUCUGAUUACUUCAUACUACUGUGGGAGAGUUUUCUUUGUAUCUCAAACCUGGUAAAAUAUGAUAUAGUUUAUCUUCAUAAUCAGUUAUUUAGCUUGUUUAUUUUGUGUGAUUACUUUGCUGGAAACAUGAAGAGGAAGACAGAUAUAGAACAAAUUUGAGUUAUUUUCUAUUAUACUGCUGUAAAUUUUCUAUACAAUAUAACAAUAUUUUUUUCUCUUUUUUAUGAUUGCUGUAUGAAUAUUUUAUUAACUGCUGUAAAACCUUGUUGUCCAUAAGGUGGUGAAGUAGAUUCAGGGUAUCAAACUCUCAAAAGUAGAGUCAUGUGGCUGAUUGUUGUAUUUACAUAAAAAAUAAGUAAGAAUAUUAUUGUACAUUUUCCAAAAUAACCUUACUUUUUCUAAAUGUUUUUUGUUCAUCUUGUCAUUACCUUCUUUUUAAACAUAUAUCUGUUAUUGUUUAACAUGUAAUAAGUUGAGGAUGACAUCACUUCUUCAUUAGUUAUCAUCCUUGAGAGUCAUUAAUUCAGCAGCAGGAAAGGAGUUGAUGAUUUGUUGUACAGUUUGAGGAGAAAUCAGGUAGUUUUCAUGCUUGUUCAGAUGUAUUUAGAAGUCAUUUAUGUUUGAUGCAGUUUGUGUAAAAAAAAAGGGACUGUUGGAAAAGUGAAAUAAAGGAAA
ensembl:lncRNA